CACGUAGGGUGCGAGCGUUGUCCGGAAUUAUUGGGCGUAAAGAGCUCGUAGGCGGUGUGUCGCGUCGGCCGUGAAAACCUGGGGCUUAACUCUGGGCUUGCGGUCGAUACGGGCAUCACUGGAGUUCGGCAGGGGAGACUGGAAUUCCUGGUGUAGCGGUGAAAUGCGCAGAUAUCAGGAGGAACACCGGUGGCGAGGGCGGGUCUCUGGGCCGAUACUGACGCUGAGGAGCGAAAGCGUGGGGAGCGAACAGG
rnacentral:rRNA from 1 species